AAGUGAGCCUUUCGAAGGCAGGUUGGGCUCCAUUGUGCCCGCCUGUUCAAUGCGGCUCAAAGAUGU
rnacentral:snoRNA from 1 species